rnacentral:rRNA from 1 species
UACGUAGGUGGCAAGCGUUGUCCGGAUUUACUGGGCGUAAAGGGCGUGCAGGCGGUUUGUUAAGUCUAGGGUGAAAGCUCCCGGCUCAACUGGGAGAGGUCCUUGGAUACUGGCGAACUUGAGGGAUGCAGAGGAAAGUGGAAUUCCCGGUGUAGUGGUGAAAUGCGUAGAGAUCGGCAGGAACACCCAGGGGGAAACCAGCCGACUGGGCAUCUACUGACGCUGAGGUGCGAGAGCGUGGGGAGCGAACCGG